GCUGGGCGUGUUGGCUCAUGCCUGUAAUCCCAGCACCUUGGGAGGCUGAGGUAGGUGGAUCACCUGAGGUUAGGAGUUCAAGACCAGCCUGACCAACAUGGUGAAACCCUGUCUCUA
ensembl:misc_RNA Metazoa_SRP Metazoan signal recognition particle RNA